UCUGGGUGAGGGCGUACACACCUAUAGUCCCAGCUACUCAAAAGGCUCAGAUAGGAAGAUUGCUUGAGCCCAGGAGUUUCAGGCUGUAGUAUGCUAUGCUGAUCUGAUGGCCUGUGCACUGUGUACUAAAUUUGGCAUCAGUAUGGUGACCUCCCAGGAGUCGGGGAUCACCAGGUUGCCUAAGAGGGGAUGGAUUGGCCUGGUCAGAGAUCAAAACUCCUGUGCUGAUCAGUAAUGGGGUCAUGCCUGUAAAUAACCACUGCAAUCCAGCCUGUGAACACAGUGAGACCCUGUCCCUU
rnacentral:SRP_RNA from 1 species